UACAGAGGUCUCAAGCGUUGUUCCGGAUUCAUUGGGCGUAAAGGGUGCGUAGGCGGGCGCGGUAAGUCGGGUGUGAAAUUUCGAGGCUUAACUUCGAAACUGCAUUCGAUACUACCGUGCUUGAGGACUGGAGAGGAGACUGGAAUUUACGGUGUAGCGGUGAAAUGCGUAGAUAUCGUAAGGAAAACCAGUGGCGAAGGCGGGUCUCUGGACAGUUCCUGACGCUGAGGCACGAAGGCCAGGGGAGCAAACGGG
rnacentral:rRNA from 1 species